GUCGGACUGGGCAUGGGCUUGACUUCUUAAUAGGCAUUUUAUUUUGUAAUAAAACAACUCGGGGGGAACUCUCCCGCAUGGUGAAACUGAGACGUUUUAAAACGACCAGAAAGGCGAGCCGCACCAGACUUACAGCAAUAAGCAUGUGGUGAAGUUACUGAACACAGAGUUGGCCAAGCUGGGGAUUUUCACCAUGGCUGACCUGACCUGAGGAUAGCGCAAGAGGAACCCAGGAGGCUUCUGUCCUUGGCUCACUCUGAGGAUCAUCAUAAUAACUACAAUAUCACUUGAGCUCACAAGGCAUUUUGUGUUUGCAAAAUUCUUUCACACAUAUUUCAUUUGACGCUCCCCACAGGGCCCUCCUGAGCUCACAUUCCAACUUCCUCCCAUGAACCACGACCUCUGGCAGAGAACCGGGUGCUCUCUGAAAUUCCUUGUCGUGCACGGGGGUUGGGAGGGAUCCCAUCCUUCAUGCAUCACCCAUUGAAAGGGCAAGAGGGGAACUCACAGCAUGACACCAUCAGUGUGUCAGCCUCACCCUCUCUUCCCUCCCAUGUGGCCAGAGAUUAACUUUGCUGGUAAAUAUGCCUUCUGUUCCUCUGUAUCUGUUACAGACUUCACGAUUCACAGACUGCUCGGAAAUUGGGAGGCCAAACGAAGCUGGGAAAUGACAGUGUAAUUUUCUAAUCUUCUAGAAAUUUUUCUUUUCAAGUGGGGAGACGAACACGAGGCUCUGGCUUUCAGGGAUGCAUUCAGCUGUGGUGGCAAUUUCUAAAACCCAGGAAACAUUUGAGAGGCAGCAAUGUCAUUGUGAAUAGAGAGCCAGUUUUAAAGCUAGGAAGACCUGGGUUCAGACCCUGCCUCUAACCUAUAUAGGCUGUGUGAUUCUAGGCAAGACUCUUGACUUCUCAGCGCCCAAGGUAACUAACGCUUGGUACCAGCAUGCAUUAGUAGAGGGAGUUUCUUCAAUCUUUAAUCUUCAAUCUUCCCUAAACCAACAAAUCACAGAUCCACUUUCAAUUUCUAUAGACUAUCAGGGUACUUAUUUCCUUUCCUUUCAUAAGACUUGCUCCAGAGCAGAGCUGACAUUCAGAUAAUGGGGGUUUUCGGUGCUCAAUAUUCCCUUGUAGAAGAAGAUUUGGAAGUCUCUUCGAAUCAUAGACUGUGUUGAGUUUGUUAGUUUGUUAGAGAGAAUAUUAGCACUGGAAAGGAUACAAUACAGGGAUGAGAAAGACCUUAGGAUUAUCCAGUCUAAUCAACUUAUUUUACGGAUGAGGGAACUGAGCCCAAGAAGGGGAAAGUGAGCCAAUUGAGAUCUCUCAGGCAUCGAGUGCAUAGGUCGGUAGAUUGAACUUUUGGCCCCAUGGCCAGGUAUGGAGGGGAUGAUGAAGGACAGCCCUCACUGCUAGAUCUGAAGAAAAGUGUCACCCAUGUUAAGGGCUAAAAUUCUAGCUAGUCUGUCUAAAAUAUCCAAUGAGUGGUCGCCAAUAAAUU